UACGUAGGGCGCAAGCGUUGUCCGGAAUUAUUGGGCGUAAAGAGCUCGUAGGCGGCCUGUUACGUCUGGUGUGAAAUCCCGGGGCUUAACCCCGGGCGUGCAGUGGAUACGGGCAGGCUGGAGGCCGGCAGGGGAGAACGGAAUUCCCGGUGUAGCGGUGAAAUGCGCAGAUAUCGGGAGGAACACCGGUGGCGAAGGCGGUUCUCUGGGCCGUACCUGACGCUGAGGAGCGAAAGCGUGGGGAGCGAACAGG
rnacentral:rRNA from 1 species